GUAACAUGUAUGGCGGGGUCCUCACAAAUUACAGAAUCCAGGAAAGGCCAUGAAGAUCAUCCAUGGCAGGGUCAAUUAUUCAUUUCACCAGUGGGACAGCUGACUCAUCAGGAGGCUGACAGUUACUUAUUGAGUUCAAGAUGAUAGGUUCUGUUGUGUGAUUAGUCCUUGUAUUAAGAGAAGGAAGGCAAGCUAGUCAAGUACCAGCUCCAUGUUUGUAUCAGGUACUUACUACGCUGCAUAGGAUGACCCUAAACUCCAGCUCAAG